CAUUGCUCCACCAUGCCCCUGUCCUUUCCCCGCGUGGCAGCAGGAGUCACCCUGUCCCCUUCUCUCCCUGGUGCAGGGACCGCCAAGGACUCAGAGGACAAGGAGGAGGAAUGCAGAUGGCCGAGGAGGAGGUGGCCGUGGACAUGGGAAUGAGGAGGCCGCUCGCAAGAACAUCCGAGAGCAGCUCCAAGGCCGAGAAAAGCCAGUCGAUCGCCCAGUGUCAUCACCCUGCCUGGUGGCUCGGCAGGGUAAUUCCUCAGGUCACCACCCUUUCCAGCCUGCCUUGAGCUUGGAGAAUGAGGAGGAGGGUGAGCGAAAGCUGGCCACCCUGAACAUCUGCCAUCCAUCUCUCCAUCACCUAGAGCAAGAUGGCCAGGCUCCUGAGGAUGUUGAGGAAGAAGGCUCUGCAGGUGGCCCCAGAGCCUGAGGGAAGCAGCUGCCAUCUUCCCCAGGAGCAGAGCGGUCCCUUUGUCCCCUCUGGCGGGGAAGGAGUUCCCGGCCGAGCCAGGAGGUGGAAGCGCCCAGCCUUCUGGCGGAGGAAACCCGCUCCCAGCGCAGGCGGCAAGGUCGGAGAGGCACCAGGCAGGCUGAAAUGGAGCUGUCCCAUGAUGCGGCUGGGCAGGCAGGACUCAACCCAGGAGGGGAGCCGGGCUGGGUGGCUCUGGGGCUUGUUGUGUGGGAAGCACAGGUCCCAGGAGCCCAGCCCGGAUUCCCAGGAGGAGGCAUCGCCCUGCCCGGUCACUGAAAAUUCCAGUUUCCCCAGGGCAGAAGGUGAAGUGUCUCUGUCCCAGCACCAGUAACUCGGCCCGCUCCCCAUGAGACAGCAGCAGCUCCUGGGACUCAGGGAGGGGCGCUGCUGCUUUGUUCCAGGUGAGAAGCUAGGCUGGGCUCAGGAAGGGGUGAGGAGGGGACUGUGAGUAGCCACCCUGGGCCCAGGCACUCGACCACUACUCUGGGGGCGGAUCCCCAGCCGAGGUGUCAGGCCUGAGCCACAUAAUCCCACUGAUACUAGAUGCUGCCACUUUGGUCCUUGAUGCUCCAGGUGGGGGCGGAUGAAGCACCACUCAGGAAGUCCAGGACAGUCUCGGGGGCUCUCUUUGCUUUGGGCUCCUGAAGGAGUUGGGGGCUGAAGGCAUCACUGAGAGGUGGGAGUGUGGGGCCUGAUGCCCCCCGAGUCCUAGAGGUGGAGAGGGGGCACGUUGCCCCACCAUGCCCCUGUCCUUCCUCCGAGUGGAACAGGAGUUACCCUGUCUCCUUCUCUCCCUGGUGCAGGGACCACCAGGGACUCAGAGUAUGAGGAGGAGGAAUGGGUGGACGUGGCCAUGGAGGAGGCUGCUGUCAAGAACACCCAAGAGCAGUUCCAAGGCCAAGAAAAGGUGGAAACAUUCCCCAGCUGUGCUGGAACUGAGAUUGUCCUGCCCCUUCCCAGCACCCUGACUCCCUGCAGAGCGUCUUGUCGCUGAUGAUCCACCAGCCCUAACAGGGACUUUUCUCCAGCAUCAUCUGGGACCCCCACGAUUGGGGUGUUUGUCACACACUAGCCGGGGUCUCCUCCCCCAACAGGCACUGUCCCAGUUCCUGACCCUGCUUGUGUAGGAGUCGUGGGUGAUUUGGAUUACCCCCCAUUCAGGUCUGAGUACUGCAGCUGGUGUGGGUGGGGCAGGGAGGUCCCCGGCUCACUGGCUCUCUCUUCCCUAACCCCACUCCUGGUGGGUGCAGGAGGAGGCUCAGCAGCUCAUGUUCCUGCAUGCCAUCCACCCCACGUGUCUCGCUGCACACAGAGAGAGCAGGACACAUUGAAGCCGCACUGCUGCCAGGCGGCUGUUGUAGAGAUUAUUGUGGUGAGUGAUACACUGCGCCCAGCCGCUGGAGGGAGGACAGAGAUAUGGGAGGGGCAGGGGUCAUCCCAGCCUAAUGGAUGGGGCAUGGUUGGUUCUGGAGGGGCAGCUGAGGCCAGGGAUUGCUGGGGCUGAAGACUGGGGAGAAGAGAUGGGAGAAAUUCUGAGAUUGGUCACUACUGCGUAGGAAUCGGAGGAGCAGGAGGCAGGUGGGGGGAUCUUGCUAGCUGUGUGGGGUGCUGGCUGUGUCAUCUCCUCACUGAGAAGCGUCAGUCAGGCCCAAAUCUCAUGCUCCUUUCUCUCCUCUGGGUCUCACAGGAGCUCAUUGAGGAGCUGCCCGAUAUCUCUCCACCCAGCGCCAUCCUUGCUAACUCCCUGAUUUCUGUGGGCAACCUCAGGUACCGAGACCCUCCCCCCGGUUCCCCGAAUCCCGGUGCUGUUGAGGCCUACGGCUGGGAGUCACUGCCCCUCCCACUCCCCGGUCACCUCCCAAGGGUGACUCCUGUGGCAGAGGUGCUGGGAAGGUUCACUCUCUCCUGGCUGGGCCAUUCUUUUUACUCCAGUUACUUUGCAAUGACUUUGGGGAGAGGCUCACUCCCAAGAUCAGAUAGAGGAGGGGGCAGCAGGGUCCAGGGAACAGGCUCUAUUCCUACCCUGCCACUGUCUGUCUGCUAAACCUUGGCCUUGUCAUUCCCUGGCUCGGUGUCUUCAGUUUCCAUUCUCGUCAACAUGUGGCUAUUUCCCUGCAGUUUCACGUCCGGGUUGGUGCCAGUGCCACCUCCGCACUGCACAGUCUAAUACCAGCUCCUCUCUCUUGCCAGCACCAUGACAGCUGCCCUGGAGCCAGAGCUAGAGACCCACCUCCUUUGAGCUGCUCCGCAUGCUGGCUUAACCCUGGGUACGGAGAAGGACACCACCCACCUCCAGGAUCUGCAUAGGGUCUUGCCAAACCUCAUGGAUGCCAUGCUGGGGAACCUGCUGGUAGAGUCCCCAGACACCUACAGGCUCCACGACAUCUUGGAGAACGCAGCAGAAUUCCCCAGGAUGGGUCACCAUGUGGCAGAGCUGGUUCUGUUCAUCAGUGACCCAGCCAAGGACAUGAGCCGGCAGGCCAGGAGGGAGUUUACCGGCUCUACCAGAUGCUGCUGUACCAGAGGGGCACGCAGCGAGGACUCUGCCCACUGUGCAGCCACCAAUGGGUUUGGAAGGACACACGCACUGCAACCAGAAUGACAAAUGUGGGUGUGUGUCUCUUUCCCGGGGAUGACCAUCCAUGAGGCUGAAGACCUGUGGUGCUGGGACUGGCACCAGGACAGCAGGCUUCUGGGCUACAGGAACACAGCCAGGGUCGGGGAGUGACGUGGGGUUAAGGGACAUGGAGGAAAAGACAAGGAGGCUGUGACCAAAGUUAGAGUAGCGAGGCCAGGAUAAGCGGGGCUAGGUCCCAGGACUGGCUAUCAGAAGACCUGCCGUUUUCUAUUCCUGCAUUUGGGCUUAGGAGUGAGUCUCUUCACUGCUGGGUGCCUCGGUUUCCCCAACUAUCAAAUAGAGCUAAUCAAGGUUUUGUUGGUUCUCCCCAUUUUAGAGGGUGGGAAACCGAGAGGCCGUUGGGACCUGUCUACACUACAGGCCUGUAGUGCAUUUGUAAGCUGCUGACCCACACAUGUUUUUCAGAGCCAAUGGACAACACAGGUCUGAAAGGUGUGUUUGUUCUGUGCUUCUCCCCUAUGUACCAGCAGAGCUGGACGGCCUUUUCUCACUGUGCUGUGGGGAGCAGGUCCUGGGUACUAAGGCUCUGAAGAAGCUCUCAAGGACUAAUUUUUUAAAAUAAUUUUUAUCAGUGAUUUGGGAGCAAACAUACAAUCCCUGCUGAGAAGACUGCUGGGUGACAAAAUACUGGCAGCGUGGUAAUUACUGAUGAGGAGAGGGCAAUGAUACAGAGGGAUCUGGCUCAUUUGGUAAACUGGACCCAUACAAAGCAAAGAAAUGUGAGCAGAGCCAAAUGCAAGGUCCUAUAGCUAGCAACAAGGCAUGCCGGUCACACCUCCAGAAUGGGGAAGUGUGUCCAGGAAACAGUGACUCUGAAAGGGUUUUCGGGGCCAUAGUGGAGAAGCCCAUCAACAUGAGCUUCCAGUGUGAUGCUGUGGUGAACAGGCUAAAGGCACCAUUAGACGUAGGAGCAGAGCCGUGAGCAGGAUAGGGAGGUGACAAAGCAUCAGUAAGCCCUGGUCCACACUAGGAGUUGAGAUCGAAUUUAGCAGCGUUAAAUCGAUUUAACCCUGCACCUGUCCACACGACGAAGCCCUUUUUUUCGACUUAAAGGGCUCUUAAAAUCGAUUUCCUUACUCCACCCCCGACAAGGGGAUU